UACUUGCACCAAAGCUCCGAUUUUUGACGAGCGCAUCUAUUAGAUUAAAACCAAUCGGAUUUCGGUCCGUCAUUUGGUGACUCUGAAUAGCUAUGGCUGAUCGCAUGGUCUUGUACCGGCGACGUAUCUAUCAAGUGUCUGCCUUAUCAACUUUCGAUGGUAGUUUAUGUGCCUACCAUGGUUGUAACGGGUAACGGAGAAUAAGGGUUCGACUCCGGAGAGGGAGCCUGAGAAACGGCUACCACAUCCAAGGAAGGCAGCAGGCGCGCAAAUUACCCACUCUCGGCAUGAGGAGGUAGUGACGAAAAAUAACGAGACCGUUCUCUAUGAGGCCGGUUAUCGGAAUGGGUACAAUUUAAACCCGUUAACGAGGAUCUAUGAGAGGGCAAGUCUGGUGCCAGCAGCCGCGGUAAUUCCAGCUCUCAAAGUGUAUAUCGUCAUUGCUGCGGUUAAAAAGCUCGUAGUUGGAUCUGCGCCUCAGGACUCGGUCCGCCCACUGGGUGAGAACUGGGCUCCUAGGCUAAUACUGCUGGUUUUCCCUAUGUUGCCUUCACCGGUCGCGUAGGGUGGCUAGCGAGUUUACUUUGAAAAAAUUAGAGUGCUUCACGCGGGCUAUUGUCUGAAUACUCGUGCAUGGAAUAAUAGAAUAGGAUCUCGGUUCUAUUUUGUUGGUUUUCUGAUCUGAGAUAAUGGUUAAGAGGGACGGACGGGGGCAUUCGUAUCGCUGCGUGAGAGGUGAAAUUCUUGGACCGUAGCGAGACGUCCGACUGCGAAAGCAUUUGCCAAGAAUGUCUUCAUUAAUCAAGAACGAAAGUCAGAGGUUCGAAGGCGAUC
rnacentral:rRNA from 1 species